CACGUAGGGAGCAAGCGUUGUCCGGAUUUAUUGGGCGUAAAGAGCUCGUAGGCGGUUCAGUAAGUCAGGUGUGAAACCUCCAGGCUCAACCUGGAGACGCCACCUGAUACUGCUGUGACUUGAGUCCGGUAGGGGAGCGUGGAAUUCCUGGUGUAGCGGUGAAAUGCGCAGAUAUCAGGAGGAACACCGGUGGCGAAGGCGGCAUCCUGGACCGACAUUGACGCUGAACGGCGAAAGCUAGGGGAGCAAACGGG
rnacentral:rRNA from 1 species